rnacentral:rRNA from 1 species
CUAUCUGCCGUGGGCGUUGGAUGAUUGAAGGGAGUUGCUCCUAGUACGAGAGGACCGGAGUGAACGAACCUCUGGUGUUCGGGUUGUCACGCCAGUGGCACUGCCCGGUAGCUAAGUUCGGAAUCGAUAACCGCUGAAAGCAUCUAAGCGGGAAGCGAGCCCUGAGAUGAGUCAUCCCUGACCCCUUGAGGGUCCUAAAGGGCCGUUGGAGACCACAACGUUGAUAGGCGGGGUGUGUAAGCGCGGCGACGUGUUGAGCUAACCCAUACUAAUUACCCGUGAGGCUUAACCAUACAACACCCAAGAAGUGUUCU